rnacentral:rRNA from 1 species
GGAAUAUUGCACAAUGGGCGAAAGCCUGAUGCAGCAACGCCGCGUGAGUGAUGACGGUCUUCGGAUUGUAAAGCUCUGUCUUUGGGGACGAUAAUGACGGUACCCAAGGAGGAAGCCACGGCUAACUACGUGCCAGCAGCCGCGGUAAUACGUAGGUGGCAAGCGUUGUCCGGAUUUACUGGGCGUAAAGGGUGCGUAGGCGGACCUUUAAGUGAGAUGUGAAAUCCCCGAGCUUAACUUGGGGGCUGCAUUUCAAACUGGAGGUCUAGAGUGCAGGGGAGGAGAGUGGAAUUCCUAGUGUAGCGGUGAAACGCGUAGAGAUUAGGAAGAACACCAGUGGCGAAGGCGACUCUCUGGACUGUAACUGACGCUGAGGCACGAAAGCGUGGGGAGCA